CUUAGUGGCGGACGGGUGAGUAACGCGUGGGUAACCUGCCUUGCACUGGGGGAUAACACUUAGAAAUAGGUGCUAAUACCGCAUAAGCGCACGGUCCUGCAUGGGACAGUGUGAAAAACUCCGGUGGUAGCAAGAUGGACCCGCGCCUGAUUAGCUGGUUGGCGGGGUAAAGGCCCACCAAGGCGACGAUCAGUAGCCGGCCUGAGAGGGUGGACGGCCACAUUGGGACUGAGACACGGCCCAAACUCCUACGGGAGGCAGCAG
rnacentral:rRNA from 1 species